CGGCGGACGGGUGAGUAACGCGUGGGUAACCUGCCUCAUACAGGGGGAUAACAGUUGGAAACGGCUGCUAAUACCGCAUAAGCGCACAGUACCGCAUGGUACCGUGUGAAAAACUCCGGUGGUAUGAGAUGGACCCGCGUCUGAUUAGCUAGUCGGUGGGGUAACGGCCUACCAAGGCGACGAUCAGUAGCCGACCUGAGAGGGUGACCGGCCACAUUGGGACUGAGACACGGCCCAA
rnacentral:rRNA from 1 species